CAUUCUUCUUUUGCAAACUGGUUUCUUUAUAUUCAAGCAAAAGAACAAGUGCCAUAUCCUUUGUUAUGGAGAAUCUGGCACUUGCAGAGAAGCCAUUAAAUUUUCAAAACUUAUAAAGGCAGUUACUUGCAUUUCCCUUUGUUCAACAUGGGUGGAGAUGCAGUGAGAUUUAUAGUUACUGCCACAGCAGCUGUAGCAACUACUUUCAUUUACAAUGGGAUGACUAAGUUUAGAGAUGGUGAGAGGGGGAAAUCUGAUAGACGAGGGUGCAAUGAUGGUAUUAGAGAUGGGCAGAGCUUCUCAAGAGGACAGAUAAAAUUUGCACCAGAGUUGGAUGGCCUCCAUUGUUUUGAAUGUCCUCUCCCCACAACUUGAAACAAAAUUCCUUUAGUUUUCUUUUAAAUAAUUUGAGCUAAUGAGGUUGUUAUAAAUUAUAAACAUGUAAUAGAUAAUGAUAGCCAUAUCAAAUCUGAUGGAAGUUUGA